rnacentral:pre_miRNA from 1 species
AUACGUACGUGAUAUUGGCACGGCUCAAUCAAAUAACUGAGCUCUAAAUAUAAAGAGCACGGCUUUCUAAUUGAACCGCACUAAUAUCCCGUAUGUCUAA